CGGGUGAGUAACGCGUGAGGAACCUGCCUCAAAGAGGGGGACAACAGUUGGAAACGACUGCUAAUACCGCAUAAGCCCACGGCUCGGCAUCGAGCAGAGGGAAAAGGAGCAAUCCGCUUUGAGAUGGCCUCGCGUCCGAUUAGCUAGUUGGUGAGGUAACGGCCCACCAAGGCGACGAUCGGUAGCCGGACUGAGAGGUUGAUCGGCCACAUUGGGACUGAGACACGGCCCAG
rnacentral:rRNA from 1 species